rnacentral:rRNA from 1 species
AUUGAACGCUGGCGGCAGGCCUAACACAUGCAAGUCGAGCGAGCGGCGGACGGGUGAGUAAUGUAUGGGGACUGCACGAUAGAGGGGGAUAACUACUGGAAACGGUGGCUAAUAACGCAUACUAUCGGAUAACCCAUAUGGGUUUAGCUAGUAGGUGGGGUAUAGGCUCAUCUAGGAGACGAUCUCUAGCUGGUCUGAGAGGGUGAUCAGUCACACUGGGACGGAGACACGGCCCAGACUCCUACGGAGGCAGCAGUGGGGAAUAUUGCACAAUGGGCGAAAGCCUGAUGCAGCCAUGCCGCGUGUAUGAAGAAGGCCUUAGGGUUGUAAAGUACUUUCAGCGGGGAGGCGUUACCCGCAGAAGAAGCACCGGCUAACUCCGUGCCAGCAGCCGCGGUAAUUC